UGAGUAACACGUGGGUAACCUGCCUGUAAGACUGGGAUAACUCCGGGAAACCGGGGCUAAUACCGGAUGGUUGUUUGAACCGCAUGGUUCAAACAUAAAAGGUGGCUUCGGCUACCACUUACAGAUGGACCCGCGGCGCAUUAGCUAGUUGGUGAGGUAACGGCUCACCAAGGCAACGAUGCGUAGCCGACCUGAGAGGGUGAUCGGCCACACUGGGACUGAGACACGGCCCAGACUCCUACGGGAGGCAGCAGUAGGGAAUCUUCCGCAAUGGACGAAAGUCUGACGGAGCAACGCCGCGUGAGUGAUGAAGGUUUUCGGAUCGUAAAGCUCUGUUGUUAGGGAAGAACAAGUACCGUUCGAAUAGGGCGGUACCUUGACGGUACCUAACCAGAAAGCCACGGCUAACUACGUGCCAGCAGCCGCGGUAAUACGUAGGUGGCAAGCGUUGUCCGGAAUUAUUGGGCGUAAAGGGCUCGCAGGCGGUUUCUUAAGUCUGAUGUGAAAGCCCCCGGCUCAACCGGGGAGGGUCAUUGGAAACUGGGGAACUUGAGUGCAGAAGAGGAGAGUGGAAUUCCACGUGUAGCGGUGAAAUGCGUAGAGAUGUGGAGGAACACCAGUGGCGAAGGCGACUCUCUGGUCUGUAACUGACGCUGAGGAGCGAAAGCGUGGGGAGCGAACAGGAUUAGAUACCCUGGUAGUCCA
rnacentral:rRNA from 1 species